GACGAACGCUGGCGGCGUGCUUAACACAUGCAAGUCGAACGGAAAGGCCCUGCUUUUGUGGGGUGCUCGAGUGGCGAACGGGUGAGUAACACGUGAGUAACCUGCCCUUGACUUUGGGAUAACUUCAGGAAACUGGGGCUAAUACCGGAUAGGAGCUACUGCUGCAUGGUGGGGGUUGGAAAGUUUCGGCGGUUGGGGAUGGACUCGCGGCUUAUCAGCUUGUUGGUGGGGUAGUGGCUUACCAAGGCUUUGACGGGUAGCCGGCCUGAGAGGGUGACCGGCCACAUUGGGACUGAGAUACGGCCCAGACUCCUACGGGAGGCAGCAGUGGGGAAUAUUGCACAAUGGGCGGAAGCCUGAUGCAGCAACGCCGCGUGCGGGAUGACGGCCUUCGGGUUGUAAACCGCUUUCGCCUGUGACGAAGCGUGAGUGACGGUAAUGGGUAAAGAAGCACCGGCUAACUACGCG
rnacentral:rRNA from 1 species